rnacentral:snRNA from 1 species
GUGUUCACUUUGGGAGCACAGAGGCCAGAAGUGGAAUGAAGUGAGAAUAUCCCCUACACAAGGAUGAUAUGCAAAUUUGUGAAGCAUCCCAUACUUUA